GUAAAUAGAGGGUUUGAUCCCGGCUCAGAUUGAACGCUGGCGGGAUGCUUUACAUGCAAGUCGAAUGGCAGCACGGACUUCGGUCUGGUGUGGCGAGUGGCGAACGUAAGUGAGUAAUGUAUCGGAACGUGCCUAGUAUGGGGAUAACUACGCGAAAGCGUAGCUGGGUUGUUCGCGCAUACGACCUCUUCUUGGGAAAGUGGGGACCUUCGGGCCUCGCACUAUUAGGAGCGGCCGAUAUCGGAUUAGCUAGUUGGUGGGGUAACGGCUCACCAAGGCGACGAUCCGUAGCUGGUUUGAGAGGACGACCAGCCACAUGGGACUGAGACACGCCCAGACUCCUGGCCGGGAGGCAGCAGUGGGGAAUUUUGACAAUGGGGGAAACCCCGAUCCAGCCAUCCCGCGUGUGCGAUGAAGGCCUUCGGGUUGUAAAAAGCACUUUUAAGUGAAAGAAACGGCACGGGAUAAUACCCCGUGCAACUGACGGUACCUGCAGAAUAAGCACUGGGCUAACUACGUGCCAGCAGCCGCGGUAAUACGUAGGGUGCAAGCGUUAAUCGGAAUUACUGGGCGUAAAGCGUGCGCAGGCGGUUCGGAAAGAAAGAUGUGAAACCCAGAGCUUAACUUUGAACUGCAUUUUUAACUACCGAGCUAGAGUGUGUCAGAGGGAGGUGGAAUUCCGCGUGUAGCAGUGAAAUGCGUAGAUAUGCGGAGGAACACCGAUGGCGAAGGCAGCCUCCUGGGAUAACACUGACGCUCAUGCACGAAAGCGUGGGGAGCAAACAGGAUUAGAUACCCUGGGUAGUCCACGCCCUAAACGAUGUCAACUAGCUGUUGGGGCCUUCGGGCCUGGUAGCGCAGCUAACGCGUGAAGUUGACCGCCUGGGGAGUACGGUCGCAAGAUUAAAACCUCAAAGGAAUUGACGGGGACCCGCACAAGCGGUGGAUGAUGUGGAUUAAUCUGAUGCAACGCGAAAACCUUAAUUACCCUUGACAUGUCUGGAAUCCCGAAGAGAUUUGGGAGUGCUCGCAAGAGAACCGGAACACAGGUGCUGCAUGGCUGUCGUCAGCUCGUGUCGUGAGAUGUUGGGUUAAGUCCCGCAACGAGCGCAACCUCUUGGCUAUGGUUAUACGAAAGGGCACCUUUAAUGAGACUGCCGGUGACAAACCGGAGGAAGGUGGGGAUGACGUCAAGUCCUCAUGGCCCUUAUGGGUAGGGCUUCACACGUCAUACAAUGGUCGGGACAGAGGGUCGCCAACCCGCGAGGGGGGAGCCAAUCCCAGAAACCCGAUCGUAGUCCGGAUCGCAGUCUGCAACCUCGACUGCGUGAAGUCGGAAUCGCUAGUAAUCGCGGAUCAGCAUGUCGCGGUGAAUACGUUCCCGGGUCUUGUACACACCGCCCGUCACACCAUGGGAGUGGGUUUUACCAGAAGUGGAGUUAGCCUAACCGUAAGGAGGGCGAUUACCACGGUAGGAUUCAUGACUGUCAGCGAAGUCAACAAGGUAA
rnacentral:rRNA from 1 species